GAUGAACGCUAGCGACAGGCUUAACACAUGCAAGUCGAGGGGUAACAGGGUAGCAAUACCGCUGACGACCGGCGCACGGGUGAGUAACGCGUAUGCAACCUGCCUAUAACUGGGGAAUAGCUCCCUGAAAGGGGAAUUAACACCGCAUAACACUAUUGAUUCGCAUGGAUUGGUAGUUAAAUGUAGCGAUACAGGUUAUAGAUGGGCAUGCGUGACAUUAGCUAGUUGGUGAGGUAACGGCUCACCAAGGCUACGAUGUCUAGGGGUUCUGAGAGGAAGGUCCCCCACACUGGUACUGAGACACGGACCAGACUCCUACGGGAGGCAGCAGUGAGGAAUAUUGGUCAAUGGGCGCAAGCCUGAACCAGCCAUGUCGCGUGCAGGAAGACUGCCCUAUGGGUUGUAAACUGCUUUUAUAGUAGAAGAAACACAUCUACGUGUAGAUGUCUGCCAGUAUACUAUGAAUAAGC
rnacentral:rRNA from 1 species